AACGAACGCUGGCGGCAUGCCUAACACAUGCAAGUCGAACGAGACCUUCGGGUCUAGUGGCGCACGGGUGCGUAACGCGUGGGAACCUUCCCUUAGGUUCGGAAUAACUCCCCGAAAGGGGUGCUAAUACCGGAUAAUGUCUUCGGACCAAAGAUUUAUCGCCUUUGGAUGGGCCCGCGUUGGAUUAGCUAGUUGGUAGGGUAAAAGCCUACCAAGGCGACGAUCCAUAGCUGGUCUGAGAGGAUGAUCAGCCACACUGGGACUGAGACACGGCCCAGACUCCUACGGGAGGCAGAAGUGGGGACUAUUGGACAAUGGGCGAAAGCCUGAUCCAGCAAUGCCGCGUGAGUGAUGAAGGCCUUAGGGUUGUAAAGCUCUUUUAACCGGGAUGAUAAUGACAGUACCGGGAGAAUAAGCGCCGGCUAACUCCGUG
rnacentral:rRNA from 1 species